UACGGAGGGUGCAAGCGUUAUCCGGAUUCACUGGGUUUAAAGGGUGCGUAGGUGGGUCUGUAAGUCAGUGGUGAAAUCUCCGAGCUUAACUCGGAAACUGCCAUUGAUACUAUAGGUCUUGAAUUAUCUGGAGGUAAGCGGAAUAUGUCAUGUAGCGGUGAAAUGCUUAGAUAUGACAUAGAACGCCAAUUGCGAAGGCAGCUUACUACGGAUUGAUUGACACUGAGGCACGAAAGCGUGGGGAUCAAACAGG
rnacentral:rRNA from 1 species